rnacentral:rRNA from 1 species
CCUACGGGCGGCAGCAGUAGGGAAUCUUCCACAAUGGGCGAAAGCCUGAUGGAGCAACGCCGCGUGGGUGAAGAAGGUCUUCGGAUCGUAAAACCCUGUUGUUAGAGAAGAAAGUGCGUGAGAGUAACUGUUCACGUGUCGACGGUAUCUAACCAGAAAGCCACGGCUAACUACGUGCCAGCAGCCGCGGUAAUACGUAGGGGGCAAGCGUUAUCCGGCUUUAUUGGGCGGAAAGGGAACGCAGGCGGUCUUUUAAGUCUGAUGUGAAAGCCUUCGUCUUAACCGGAGUAGUGCAUUGGACACUCGGAGACUUGAGUGCAGAAGAGGCGAGUGGACCUCCCUGUGUAGCCGUGAAAUGCGUAGAUAUCUGGCAGCACCCCAGUGGCGAACGCGGCUCUCUGGUCUGUAACUGACGCUGAGGUUCGAAAGCGUGUGUAGCAAACAGGAUUAGAUACCCCAGUAGUC